ACAGAUUGGGAAACCGGAAAUCUAUUUCAAUCUGAAGGAUCAUGCAGACUGUGAUAACAGCCCAGUUCUGGACAGCAUGUUAUAGGGGUGAAAACAUAGGCGCUCCCCUUUCCCCCACCACGGGUGACAUGGCCGGUUCGUGGUUGCUAUGGUGACAGCGAUGGGUUUUAGUAUUUGCAGCGGUUGUGACGGCGGGUGUGUGCGAGGUGCUGAUCUCCUGUACGUGUGUUUGCGCGUGGCACAGAGAGCGGCACUGUGCCCCCCUGCAGAUGUUCCCCAGCUCCCCCGUGCUUCCUGCCAGCUGCUGCGGACCCCUUCCAGCGUCUCAUUAACCAAGUGUUGAUGAAGGAUUUUAUGAGGGCCCCAUCUGUGGUUCUUCUCAAUAAAAGCAAGAACUCACCUGCUACCUCUGCAUUUUAAUAAGAAGAGUAAGUUAGUUGACCCUUGAAGCCCAAAAUUCAUAAGAAUUCAUUUAGUCUCUGUGUUUUUGUGUGUAAGUCGGCUCUACACGUUUCCACAGCCGAUAAAGUCCGCAGUCAGAACAACACUGCCGGCGUUGAGAAAUGAGAUCCGUGGUGCGCUCACACACACCAUCCCGUCCAAUCUCUCGCCAUGCAUCAAACGACACGACGGCCGCCAGACAGCACUCUAUUUCUGUCACUUGUAAUCUGACCACCAUUGUAAAGAUCAAAGCCAAGUGGCACAACAUUUUGUUUGUGUUUUUUCUCUGCUAAAAGUGUUUAUUGAUUGUGCAAACAAACAGUCGUCUCCAUUGGGUGAGAGACGGGAGACAUGAGAUGGGGGGGUUCUUUUGUUACACGCUAAUAAAAGAUCUCGACAUAAAGAAAUGAAUGUUUCAUGUUUCAAUAUUUGGAUGAAGAUGGAUGUGCGCAAAUGUGUAGCAAUGGUAAAG